UUACGGCCACAUCACAUAUAAACACCAAUUCUCGUACGAUCACCGAAGUUAAGCAACGUCGAGUUUGGUCAGUACCAAGUUGGGUGACUGCUUGGGAAUAUAAG